UGGGUGGCCUGAGGAAGAGGGAGGGAGGUGGACGGAAGGGGCCCGGGCGUUGCUGACGCCACUGCCCCCACCAUUUUGGAGAGGCCUCUCCGGGGGACUGAGGGAGGGCCCGAGCCCCACCCACUCGUCUUCUGCUUACGUCCCCGGAAAGUCUCUAGUUUGGUGGCCAUCAGGCCUCUUGGCAUUCGUUCUGUGCCUUACCCUUCCCCUGCUUUCUGACCUUGAACAGAUCGUUGUAUAAAGUGAGGCUCAUAAUUUGUACCUCACAGAGUUGUUGGGAGGUCCCCGACAAAGGAAGGCACUUGAUCACCCGGAACCCAGAAAACGCAACGCAAAAUGGAGAAGAGUUGUUUUGAUAGUGUGAUCUCAGGGGACCCAGAAGUCCGUUGGAUCUCGGUCUCUCCUACAGCCACCUCCUGUCCCAUUUAAUGGCAAUAAGAGCCCAAAGAGGUUUUUAGUUUGGGGAUUUUUUUCAUGGGGAGCGGGGAUUCUAGACAGGGUUCUCGGUAUACUGAAAUACUCUAGGUAGAGCAGGCUGGCCUCAAACUUGGCCCAGAGAAGUUUUUUAAGAACAUGGGCCCAGGAAGUAUAUUAGUACCUGUGGAACCACAAAUGUCCUGGAAAGUGAAACCCUGGGAUUUGUGUUUUCUCCUUGGUUUUUGUUUUUUGUUUUUUUUUGUUUUUUGUUAACUUUAAUUUUUAGAACAGAAUCUCCCGUUGUAUGCCAAGCUGUCCUGGAAAUCACCGGGUAGCACAGGCCGUCCCCUAAACUCAAGGCAGCCUUUUCGUCUCAGCCUCAUUCAUGACUGCUGAGCUUACAGAUGUUAAGUCACUACGAGGCUGUUUCUCACAUGGUCACUAAGGUUUUUUAGAGCAGUUUGGUUUUCUCUGCACUUGCUUGCCUUAGUGAAUCCUGCACAUGUAAGCGUUCAAACGUCACCUUUUCUGUCAUGCAUUUACGAGCUACUGUACUGCUGUAGCUAUUGAAACUGUUCCUGUUCAGAUGGAAGGAAGGGUAUCCAGGGAUUCGGAAGGCCCAGGAACCGC
rnacentral:lncRNA from 1 species